rnacentral:lncRNA from 1 species
AAGAAAGUUCUGGAUUCAGCAAAAGUAGCAUGUGAAUCUGCCAGUUUUCAGACGAUCUAAGAUAAGGUCGGGGGGUUGAAUUUCACUAAAAGAAGGCUGUGACAAUAUUAUCGUAGUUCAACCUGUUUACCCAAAAUCAAAAUUUGGAGGAGAGGGCUUCUACCAAUCUAAAGUAGCUAAUGGUGCCAGCAUUGCAAGUAAGCAUCAACAUAAAAUGAGUCAUUCCCAGCAAGCAUCUGGAUGAUUUCCAAGUGUCUUAUAAUGCCUUACAGAACACUAUCUAGUAGUAAAAUGCCAGCAUUAUCACAUGGCAUAAUUUGAGCUGCUCAAAACCAAAAAAAUGCUCAGCUGAAGUGAACACUAAUGGUUUAUCCAUCAUGUUCUAUCCAAAUCUCAUUAAUAUAGUAUCUCAGAGAUAAUAGAUAGGAAGAUUACAAAGAGAAAUACAAGUAGAAGAAGGUUGUAGGGAAAGGCUGAUUUCAUUGAAAUCUGCUAUGGAAAAUGGUCAAGUCAAUAAUAACUUAGUUUAUGAAUAUUAUUUCUUUACCUUUGUAGGUGGAUCAGUAUCAUCUUGGAAGAGAAUUGAGACAUUGAUCAAGAGAAAAAGACUCUGAGAGGCUGACUUUACAAAACCGGUAUCUGUUUUUCACUCAUGUUGUUAGAAUAGGCCUCCAAUGAAACCUUUUAUUCUUACCUGCAAUAUUACUCAAACAAGUGGGACAUUUGGAACUGGUUAUUUAAUUCUGACAGCUAUAAGAGUAAGUGUAUGAUCAACAUCAGAAAU